AUUCGGAUGAUUUAGAGGGCUUUCAGGGAUGAUGAAAUGAGUGCAGAGCAAAUAAAAGUGUGGCACAAAUGCUUCAAAGAUGGUCGAGAAUCUGUUGAAAGUGAUCCACAUUCUGGAAGGUCUGCAACAAACAGAACAUCUGCGAAUGUUGAAACUGUACAGGCUGCAACCAACAAAGAUGAGCAACUGACAGUAAGAACUAGAAGUUGAUCA